GUGAACAAACCUCCAGAGCCCUCUCGAAGAGACACCAAUUAUGAGGAAUGGUGGCAUUCGAUUCAUAAGGAACAUUUUCAAAAACCUCUGCUGCACAUCCUUUCGUUGCGGGGAAUGCGUGGAGACAGAGGACAAGGUUCACUUUAUCACACGCUGUGAGAAGGAGCAGUGACGGUGAACGUGCUGUCAUCCUGGAAAUCUCAAUCAGUAAAUUCUUGUUUGGAUUAAGGAUCUUCCAGGAUUUGGAUGGCUCGUUUUAUCUCUAUCAGAAAUAAGAUCUUCCACAUAACUAAUUUGGAGAAUCUUCAGAUUAGCAAGAUGGAACAUAAAUCAUCAUCUCAGAUAUUGGCGGCAGUUUGAUCAUACUGUUUAAAACCAAAGGACUUAGAAACACUAUUUGAUUUCCUUUGAAUCGGGCCUAACGAUAACACGGGAUUUGAAGCACGGUUCUCGGCGUUGAGCGCACUGACGGGACCAAGAGGCUUCUUCACGUCAGUCCUAGAGGCCCUCAGAGCAGAAAGCAGGAGUAUGCAGUCGUGGUACCAUUAUCCUCCUUGCAUUGACGGUUACCCUCAGAAGGCCACUGCCAGCAUUAACCAGGCUGCUGCUCUCCUGGCCUUGUGGGGAUCUGAGAUGUGGGCAGACGAAGGAGAAACCCACUGCCUUCAGAUAUGUGACUGUUGGGGCUGCUCAGCUCCGGUGUGACAGCAGCCACAGAAGUGCCAGCACCUCGCAGCCCAGCCCAAGGGCAGCUGGCUCUGGAAUUCCAGCCCUGUCCUGGUCUAAAUCUAGUCAUGGUCUUCCUGAUUUGCUUCCACAUCUACAAAGUGGGAAUAAUCAUAAUAUCUCAAUAUAUAAUCAUAAUAGUUACCAGGCACGCCGAAACAGAUCUUCAGCAUUUACACUUCAUAUCAUCUGUUAAGCUGCCUCUGCUUGACUAGGUCAUGCCUCUUUGGUGCUACCACAUAAAUGCUAAAACUUACCAUCAUCUCAUCUUUGAGCAGAACAGAUCCAAUUCUGCGCCUUUUUUGGAAAACUACCCUUUGAAAUACUGUUUUAAUCAAAAAGAACAGAAAAAAGUCUACUUGGCCAAUUCUUAUGUCAAGAUCCAGGACAGAUUGCUGGAUAGCAUUUUACAUUCAGGCUGAAAUUAUUACCCUGGCCCUUAGGUAAAAUGUUCCAGAAACUUGUCUUGGGUCAUGCUAGCAACAAAUGAUGAAAAAAGCAAACAUUCUUUAUUUUAAAUAUAGUCUGUGAACUUUUUCAAACGCAGAGACUAAAUUUAGACAAUUGUCUUGGAAAUACACUCAGAAAAUUUGGAUUUUGUUCCUGCUCAUUAAUUUUCUAGCUGCUCAAAUAUAAAUAAGCAGUAUCAGUCAAUUGCUAUUUUCUCUUCUUGAAAGUUUUCUUUACUCAUUUUAACUGUUUCCUAUCAUUAUCACAGUUCAGUGGUUGCAGACAGUAAAACAGCUGAAUAAAAUAGGCAUCCACUAAUAUCUCCAAGUCUUUUCCAGCCCACAGGCAAAGCUAUGUUCCAUUUGUCUGCAAGAAUUUCACUCAAGGUUGCAGAGAUUUCUUUUGUAUUUUUAUUGCAUUUAAUAAAGAUUAAAAUAUGUAUUACAUUAAAUUAAAUUAAAUCAUCAUACAAUGUUGGCUAGUGCUUAUACCUAACCACAGAAAGUCAGAAAGUCUUUUAUAUAUACAUAUAUAUAUAUAUAUAUAUAUACACAUAAUCCAAAUGGAAAUAUGGUUUUUGUAAGAAUUGCUCUAGUAUUAUUAUCUGCAUCACUGUGGGCAAACUCAGCUCAGUGUUACGGUGUUAAGACACAAACUGCUCAAGGUACACUUCAAAGUUUAGUGAUAUUGCUGUUGCCACAAUAUCACUCUCUCUCUCAAAUGCACCUAUAUAUGAACAUAUAUAUGAACAUAUUUUAUCAACACUGUUCUGAAGGAAUAAACCAAAUAAUGUUAACAUUCAUUUUAAGAGGAAAACAGAUGGAGCCAAUGGAGUUCCUACUCAUUCAGCUUUUCUUUUCUGAUCAGACACCAUUGACCAAACAGAAGAUUUGCUCCCUUGGGUAUGCGAUUCCCUGUGAGUCUGGAGAAAAGCUGUCACUUUGGAGGCACAUACCUUGGAGAAACAUCUUGCAGAUACAACGCACAAACACCUCAAGUGACAGGAAUUCCUGCAGCACAUCGUAAACACCUGAGAUACAAAACUGUCACCCCUGGCCCUUCUCCUUACAUCACUGUCCCAAACACUGCUGCAUGAGAGCACUCUGAGCAGAUGGUGGCUGCUUGGGGAAUGGCGCCUUGGCACACAGCAGAGCACAGUGCUGUGGCUGUCACCCAUGCUAUGACAAAGCACACCCCCUCCAGUGCUAAAUGAUGCUCUGUGAGCCAGAACACAGCGCAGCACUGAUUCUUGCUCAGACCUGGACAGAGGCUGCCCACUUCAAAAUGAAAGUGGAAUUUCAGGUAUAAGAGAGAUGCUCGAUUCUUUUGCUUGCGGACACCCAAUUGUGUGGAGUGAGGAAAUCCACCUUGCCCAGGGCAUGUGCAGGUUUACAUAGGCACGGUGAGGUCUGAAGCCGUGCCUGAAGAAGGACUGCACCGUGACAGGUAACUGCCCAGACCUGUGGUUGAUGUGUCUGUUUCUUGGACCGUCUUGUUUCCAAAACAUUCUGAAAAGUCUUCAUCAGAAUGAAACCAAAUGCCAAAACCUCAGAAUUUUUCACGAAACAGAAUCCUUGUUUCCUGGCCAGCCCUAUUAUUGAACCUUAAUAUGAUACAACAUGUGUCCAUAUUUGCACACAUGGUCCACAGCCCUUACACAUGUGUAAAUCCUACUGAAGUCAUGUAUAAAGGAUCGGGCUCCGAGGCUGUUAUAGAAAAAGUUCAUGUUUCACUGACUUUUUGGUAUUCUUUGAAGAUAUUACAUUAAGAGUAAAUAUAGAGAAGUACAUGUUAUAUGCAAGAUUUUCAGAGAACAUUUAACUUCCACACCAGAAGGUCACAUCUAAGGCAAUAUGGUCUUGGAACAAGUUCAAAGUUGUCACACUUGAUAAAAAUAGCUUAAAGGGCACAUAACUGUGCUGGAAUACGGGAAAACAGUGGAACAUGAGAGGGAGAAUGAUUGAAGUCCUCAUUACUAAUUAUGUACAUACUUUGUUGCUAUUGAAAGCUAGAUUUCUGAGCAUGUAUAUGGUACUUAAGUUAGAUAAAAGUGCAAGCAAUUAAAUGAAUAUAAAUCAUUUUGCACCAUUAUAUCCAGGGAAAGAACGUUUUACAAAUACAGUUAUCUGAAAUAAUGGAAAAUCUUUUACUGGCAAACAAACAGAGGACAUAAAUGAUCUUUGUUUCUGGUUUCAUGAUUAUGUUUAUACACUUACUUUUUUGCACUGGCUACCAAUCUUUUUAGUGAUACUUUCUUGAAAAACAAAGCAUAUGUUUAUUUCUUUAACAUAAGAAACAGCAUUCACUGUUUUAUGUUCCAUCUGAAAUCACUGCAAUUAUUUUGUAGCUUUUUGAAGUUAUUUUGAUAGCUUCUUCUAUCAUGAAACAUGGACAGACGUACACAACGGGCAGCUGAAAUUGAGGAAAAUGUAAAUGACACAGGAAGGCAUGAUGGGCUGCUACAACACAGUGUGGUAUACUGUAGCCAAAAUUUACAUCAAAUCACCUCUUGAAAUACACGCUGCAUCAGCUUGGCAGUCACUUACUUAGGAUUGUGCUGCGUGUGCUGGAUACCUGUGAAGCCAUGAUCAAACCUACUGGUGAUACUUCAGUCAUAAAUGUAGGCGAGUAUAAAGCAAGAUGCUACACUCCUUCUGCAGACUGAUUCACUCACAUGAAGCCCCACUGUAAGGGAGGCUGUUUCAUAACCCACGGGGCACUCAAGUAAGUCAUGGGUCAGGUGUCUCCUGCUCAGAAAUCAGAGCCUUCUAGAUUCAUGUUUUGAUUUAUUGUAUUGUUGUCUUAUCUUUGUUCCUUGAAAGAACAUGUCGCGUCAAGGAAUCUUUCCCCUUUCUCCUAUUUGAGACAUUUGCUGUAUUUUGCACACAAUUUUUUAAUGAUUUAUGGCAUGGUGCAAUCUUUAUGUCAAAUCUUAACAACAAAAACAAUAAUAAUAAUUAAUAAAUAUUUAAUAAUAAUUAAUAAAUAGAAGAAAAAGGAAAAAGAAGUAAAAUAAUAAUAACAAUAGAAACAAGAAAGCUUCAUGAUUUCACAAUGCAAUACUUCAGACUUAGUUUUGUCCAGAAUUUCUACAUCAUAUGCUGAUCCUGGGGCUCUUAAUGCCGAGAAAACAAAAUUGUUGUCUUCCAUGCUCAGAAACAACGUAUUUAUUCGCUUGCACUCUUCCCUGUGGAAAAACUUCCUUAGAUACAGGGGGGUUUGACAAAGUUUCCUCUCAUAGGAGGCAUAAAUAAAUUACUUAUUACUUAUAUAAAUUUGCAUCAGUCAGCAAAAAGCCUGUUUUGUGACAGUCACAAAGUUGCCACGAGCAAUUAAGUACUUAAUUCCCUCAACCAGAGCAAGAGAGCCAAAUGCAGAGUAUCUCCCCCCUGCAAUGGCAGAAAUAGUCAACAGGAGGAUUUUAUAUCUUCCGUAAUUAGGAAGAUGGUGAUAUCAAAAGCACCCGAAUGCUGCUCUGCCUGGGGAUAGGGAGUAAGCAGACUCCAGGAGGUGCAGUGGAUACACGAAACAAUCCAUACCACCCUUUAAAAAGGUAUAGCCAAGGGAAAAGGUUACCUUAUAUUACAGCAGAGAAGCAACAAUGUAAUUUAUGCUGCUCAGUUUUAAAGCAUCACAUUUUUACGCAAUAACAAAAAAGGCAGAGAGUCUGAGUCAUUAGAAAAAUACUUGCACAGCUGGUAAAUUGUAUUUUCUAUGGACCUUAUACAUGUGAUUCUAAGCGCUAAGUAUACACAUUAUUAGGGUCAAUCCAAAUCCAGGCUGUUGAAAAAUCCAAAGUGUUGGAGGAUUUAGGAUCUUCCUGUGGAUUUUGUUGUAGCCUCCACAAUCUAUGCUUUCAUUAAAAUAAUAUAUGUUCUAACUUCCCAGGUUCUGAAAGGAGCCUUUACAAUAUUAACUGGUGCACUGUCUCACAGGCUGCGCAGCCAAACAGGC
rnacentral:lncRNA from 1 species